rnacentral:misc_RNA from 1 species
GAAAUGCGAUAAUUAAUGUGAAUUGCAGAAUUCAGUGAAUCAUCGAGUCUUUGAACGCACAUUGCGACCCCUGGUAUUCCGGGGGGCAUGCCUGUCCGAGCGUCAUUGCUGCCCUCAAGCACGGCUUGUGUGUUGGGCUUCCGUCCCUGGCAACGGGGACGGGCCCAAAAGGCAGUGGCGGCACCAUGUCUGGUCCUCGAGCGUAUGGGGCUUUGUCACCCGCUCCCGUAGGUCCAGCUGGCAGCUAGCCUCGCAACCAAUCUUUUUAACCAGGUUGACCUCGGAUCAGGUAGGGAUACCCGCUGAACUUAAGC